AGUGAACGCUGGCGGUAGGCCUAACACAUGCAAGUCGAACGGCAGCACAGUAAGAGCUUGCUCUUACGGGUGGCGAGUGGCGGACGGGUGAGGAAUACAUCGGAAUCUACUUUUUCGUGGGGGAUAACGUAGGGAAACUUACGCUAAUACCGCAUACGACCUACGGGUGAAAGCAGGGGAUCUUCAGACCUUGCGCGAUUGAAUGCGCCGUUGUCGGAUUAGCUAGUUGGCGGGGUAAAGGCCCACCAAGGCGACGAUCCGUAGCUGGUCUGAGAGGAUGAUCAGCCAAACUGGAACUGAGACACGGUCCAGACUCCUACGGGAGGCAGCAGUGGGGAAUAUUGGACAAUGGGCGCAAGCCUGAUCCAGCCAUACCGCGUGGGUGAAGAAGGCCUUCGGGUUGUAAAGCCCUUUUGUUGGGAAAGAAAAGCAGCAGGUUAAUACCCCGCUGUUCUGACGGUACCCAAAGAAUAAGCACCGGCUAACUUCGUG
rnacentral:rRNA from 1 species